GUCCCACUUUAUGACAAUAGAAACAGGGACGCUCAUUUUUCUGGGGUGCUUGAUGUACUGCUGGCCGACUAGAGCUAAAAGUAGGCAACUCAGUGGCUCUACUCUCAGUAUGAGCCGAAAACACGCUCGUGUGUCAACACAAACUCGUCUGCCAACACAGACGCUUCUGACAGGGAGGAUACUUUCUGUUCAUUUAGGUAAACUACAAUGCGUUCGGUUGGAACUGUAUCGAACGGACAUCCCUCCUGGCAUCACCGGUUGACAGUGGGGAGAGUGGAUCAAAACGGGGCAAAGUGGCUGGAGCUUUAGCCUCGCCCUCAGACACCGACGGGCUUACCGGAGCCGCAACAUCCCCUACAGGGGUAGUCAACUCAGGCAGCGGAAACACAAGCACCUGCUCUUCCAACAAAACAUUUAACAUCAGUUUCUUAACCUCCGCCUUAACUAAACUGUGCGAAAUAGACAAUGAAUAAUGGUCAGGUCAUUAAAAUCAAUUUUAUGACAUUUGUCAAACACCUCCCACGAAGGCUUAUCCAAAAAGGAUUUCACAUCAAAAGUAGCCAUCUUGAACUACUACACCAAAACACAAGAGCCAACCAAUAGCAAACACUAAUGCUUCAUCAGCUAUUAUGCUCAACACUGAACUAACCUCUACAAUAAGUUGCACGAGCGGCAUGGGUGUCAGUAAUGACAGAUCCCGGAUGAGCCCCCACUUAUGUUACAAAUCCCUUUGGCCCUGCAGUCUAGGGGGGAUGGCAACGAGACCCGUAACAUAACUCAUGCAAAUUAUAAUAGUGAUAAAGAACAGUGAGAACAAAAACCACAGACAACUGAAAUUUACCGUCAAACACUAAAGGUUUAUUUUUAAACACACGGUAAAGGGGUGUGAGAAAAGGGGCUGAGCUGGACCCAAGGAAAGAAACAAUAAUCCAAAAACACCCCUAAACUAGACUAGCCUACUUCAAUAACAGCUAGUUCUAACUAGUGUAUUUAGACAAUGUUUUCCUAGGUGUAAUGUAGGCCCAUGGGCGACUGGUCUGGUUACCCCCUUUUCCCACCAUCAAACAAACAGUCAAACAACAAAACAAUACUCACAGGAUAACCGGACAAAUGUAACAUGUAGGAGCAAAACAAGAGAGAGAGAGAGAGAAAGAGAAAGAGAAAGAGGAGAGCGAGAGAGAGGAGAGAGAGAGAGAAGGAGAGAGGCGAGAGGAGAGAGGAAAGGAAGAGAAGGAGAGAGAGAGAGCUGGUGACACAGAGAGAUUGGACACAGAGAGAUUGACCACAGAGGGAUUGACCACAGAGAGAGAUUGACCACAGAGAAGGGAUUGACCACAGAGAGUGAGAUUGAACUGUUUAGAAAACUACUGACUGGGUUUUUAAACCAAGGGAAAGGGAUGUGAUUGGUUGAGGGAAAAGGAGCAGGUGUCUUGGUUGGUGACUGAUUGGGGAAUGAUGAUUGUCACCUGUGAGGGGAGAAGGAGAGAAAAGAAACACACACGGGAUACAUACACAGGAUACCUGUAUCCGUAACAAGAACAAACGAAAGAUAUCUCCGUUUCAAGGUCUCAGCUUUGAGAGGAGAAGCCUCGUGAGGUGUUGGUCUGUCACAUGUUAUUAUGAAACAGUAUUGGUCAGUCACAUGAAUGAAAGAAAACACUAAUGAUUAAUUAAUUAUGCUAAAUCAUGCAAAUAGAAUUUUUCUGUGUAUUGCCGUAUAUAAGACAACUGCUGGGUCUGCCCAGCGAGAGCUCCUGAUUGACAUGUGUACUAUGGUGCCUUGAGUUGGUUGGAACCUCUCCAGCACACUGACAAUAAACAAUGAUUCAUUUAAGAUUGACUUUGAGAGUCCCUGUGUAAGAAUUUUUCCACAACACCUGUAUUUGAGGAGUUUCUCCCAUUCUUCUCUGCAGAUCCUGAUAAGCUAUGUAAGGUUAGAUAGGGAGCGCCGCUGCACAUUUAUUUUCGGUUUCUCGGUCACCUCCCUAAUCAAGGCCCUUCUCCCCCGAUUGCUCAGUUUGGCCGGGCAGCCAGCUCUAGGAGGAGUCUUGGUGGUUUCAAACAUCUUCCAUUUAAGAAUGAUGGAGGCCACUGUGUUCUUGGGGACAUUCAAUAUUGCAGAAUAUUUUUAGUACCCUUCCCCAGAUCUGUGCCUUGACACAAUCCUGUCUCGGAGCUCUACGGACAAUUCCUUAGACCUCAUGGCUUGGUCUUUGCUUUAUAUAGACAGGUGUGUGCCUUUCCAAAUCAUGUCUAAUCAAAUUAAUUUACCACAGGUGGACUCCAAUCAAGUUGUAGAAACAUCUCAAGGAUGAUCGUUGGAAACAGGAUGCACCCGAGCUCAAUUUCGAGUCUCAUAGCAAAGGGUCUGAAUACUUAAAUAAGCUCAGGCGUUCGGCGUCACCGGCCUUCUAGCUGCUUCUGAACCUACUGUUGGCAAAUGCCCUUCACUCAUCAACCCCGGACUUGUCUCGUCAUCAUUACACACACCUGGUUCCAAUCCCCACUCUAUCACUGUAUAUAUACUCCCUCUGCCAUUUGUCUUUGUCGGUUAUUGCAAAUGUUACUUGUUUUCCUGAGAGGAAUCUCACCUACUAUUUCCUGAGUACUUUAUAUUUUGCACUUUGGGUUCGCCCUGUGCCUUUUUGUUUAUGAAGAUAUAUUUUCAGCAC
rnacentral:lncRNA from 1 species